rnacentral:rRNA from 1 species
CGUAGGAUGCAAGCGUUGUCCGGAUUUAUUGGGCGUAAAGAGUUCGUAGGCGGUUCGUUAAGUUCGAUGUUAAAGACCGGGGCCCAACCCCGGGACUGCAUUGAAUACUGGCGGACUGGAGUGCAGUAGAGGCAAGAGGAAUUCCCAGUGUAGCGGUGAAAUGCGUAGAUAUUGGGAAGAACACCAGUGGCGUAAGCGUCUUGCUGGGCUGUAACUGACGCUGAGGAACGAAAGCCAGGGGAGCGAAUGGGAUUAGAUACCCCAGUAGUCCUGGCCGUAAACGAUGGAUACUAGGCGUAGCGGGUAUCGACCCCUGCUGUGCCGCAGCUAACGCGAUAAGUAUCCCGCCUGAGUAGUACGGCCGCAAGGUUG